GAUGAACGCUGGCGGCGUGCUUAAUACAUGCAAGUCGAACGAACAGAUCAGGAGUUUGCUCCUCUGUCGUUUGCGGCAGACGGGUGUGUAACACGUGGAUCACCCCCUUAUAAGACUGGGAUAACCUCGGGAAACCGGAGCCAAUACCAUAGAAUAUAUUGAACCGCAUGGUUGAAUGGAUAAUGACGGUUUUGCUGGCAGUUAUAGAUGGUUCCCCGCUGGAUUGGCUGGUGGGUAAGGUAACAGCCUUCCAAGGCUACGUUGCGUAGGCGACCUGAGAGCGUGGUUGGCCACACUGGAACUUGGACUGGGUCCAGGCAACUGAGGGAGGCCGCAGUGGGGAAUGUUCCGCAAUGGGGGGAAUCCUGGCGGAACAACGCCGCGUGGUUGAUAAAGGUCUUCGGUUCGUAAAACUCUGUUAUUGGGGAAGAACAACUGUCUAAGUAACUGUGCCCGUCUUGACGGUACCUAAUAAGAAAGCCACGGCUAACUACGUG
rnacentral:rRNA from 1 species